rnacentral:rRNA from 1 species
GAUGAACGCUGGCGGCGUGCCUAAUACAUGCAAGUCGAGCGAACGGACGAGAAGCUUGCUUCUCUGAUGUUAGCGGCGGACGGGUGAGUAACACGUGGAUAACCUACCUAUAAGACUGGGAUAACUUCGGGAAACCGGAGCUAAUACCGGAUGAUAUUUUGAACCGCAUGGUUCAAAAGUGAAAGACGGUCUUGCUGUCACUUAUAGAUGGAUCCGCGCUGCAUUAGCUAGUUGGUAAGGUAACGGCUUACCAAGGCAACGAUGCAUAGCCGACCUGAGAGGAUGAUCGGCCACACUGGAACUGAGACACGGUCCAGACUCCUACGGGAGGCAGCAGUAGGGAAUCUUCCGCAAUGGGCGAAAGCCUGACGGAGCAACGCCGCGUGAGUGAUGAAGGUCUUCGGAUCGUAAAACUCUGUUAUUAGGGAAGAACAUAUGUGUAAGUAACUGUGCACAUCUUGACGGUACCUAAUCAGAAAGCCACGGCUAACUACGU